rnacentral:misc_RNA from 1 species
GUAGGUGAACCUGCGGAAGGAUCAUUACAGUGUUCCCUGCCCUCACGGGUAGAAACGCCCACCCUUGUGUAUUAUAUCUUUGUUGCUUCGGCAGGCCGCCCUCGGGCACCGGCUCCGGCUGGAUCGUGCCUGCCAAAGGAAACCCAAACUCUGAAUGUUAGUGUCGUCUGAGUACUAUCUAAUAGUUAAAACUUUCAACAACGGAUCUCUUGGUUCUG